AAGAAUUUGAUACAUGUCCAGCAAAUGUUGCAGUGUCCAAAUGUUCGAUACGUAUGUGAUAUGAACACACUAAUCAAACUAAAAUGUACCGUAAUGCUGCAAUUAAGAAAAUACUUUUAACACCCAGUCAAGCAUAGAAUCUACCUUUGAUGAACAAUAUCUUGGAUGGAUUAAAGAUGACGAUUUUAGAACAAUUUUAAAUAAUUAAAUGUUAAAAAGAAACUUCGAUAUUCACUUUAAAAAAACUAUGUUCUAAAAGGUUAUAAAAUAGUAAAGAAGAGGUCAAUAUAAAUUUAGGUGAAAAUGUUAAUGGCUUAGUUAAUCUUCAUAAAAUCUAGUUUGAGAAUAUUUUGUUAAAAUAUCAUCCAAUAAACGGAUGCUAAAAUUUAUAAUUGGGU